rnacentral:lncRNA from 13 species
AGGCCCUACAUCUCAUACAAAAAACAACACUCACCAGCUUCCGUUGUUUAUGUGACAUGCUACAGCAUUCAGGGCUGUACUGUGGUUAAGGCGCAUACGGUCAAGGACACACUGCCUGGGAUCUGUCUAUUGAUGAGCUGGAAGCGUUCAUUUCAAUCCUGUAUAUUCAUGGAGCAUUCGGUGGAAAGUGCGUGUAUAUGGUAUAGUUAGUUGUCUUUGGAGAAACAAUAUCACAGGAUCGCUUCAGAGAGAUCAUGUGUUACCUCCAUUUUGAUGACAAAGAAACAAAUUUGCCAUGGUAUCCGACGUAUAAAUAAUUUAAAAUUUUUGACUGCUGUCAUAUAGACAGUUACAGUGGGGCAAAAAAGUAUUUAGUCAGCCACCAAUUGUGCAAGUUCUCCCACUUAAAAAGAUGAAAGAGGCCUGUAAUUUUCACUUCAACUGUGACAGACAAAAUGAGAAAAAAAAUCCAGAAAAUCACAUUGUAGGAUUUUUAAUGAAUUUAUUUGCAAAUUACGGUGGAAAAUAAGUAUUUGGUCACCUACAAACAAGCAAGAUUUCUGUCUCUCACAGACCUGUAACUUCUUCUUUAAGAGGCUCCUCUGUCCUCCACUCGUUACCUGUAUUAAUGGCACCUGUUUGAACUUGUUAUCAGCAUAAAAGACACCUGUCCACAACCUCAAACAGUCACACUCCAAACUCCACUAUGGCCAAGACCAAAAUGUUUCGUGUUAGGCUAUAAAAAUGGAUUUUAUCAAACAAAAGACCAUUCAUUGUUUAACAAUGAGCAUUGGGAUUGCAAACAGGAAGAUCGUCAAAGUGCAAACAGAAAGAUAUGCACUAUUCUGUGAUCUUCAAGGCUGCGAUGUGGGUGGAUUUCGUGACAAGCUGUAAGGCACCAACACACUAAGGUGCAGGCACGCACACACACACACACACACACACACACACACACACACACACAUACACACACACACACACACACACACACACACCAAGGACAUGGAUUGCAUGCUUCAUCCUAACUGUGGAAUGGGUCUGUCACUCUCAAUCUUCCCUCCAAACUUUACAUAAUUAAAAAUACAAGAGCCACCAGCUGUUUUAUUCA